rnacentral:rRNA from 1 species
UUCAGGGAGGUAGUGACAAUAAAUACCUUACAGAGGUCUCGUUAACCGAGAUCUCUCAAACGGAAUGAGUACAACGUGAAUCCUUUAACGAGGAUCGACUGGAGGGCAAGCCUGGUGCCAGCAGCCGCGGUAAUUCCAGCUCCAGUAGCGUAUAUUAAAGCUGUUGCGGUUAAAAAGCUCGUAGUUGGAUAUCAGUGCGUGUCCGGUCCGGUAUGCCUGGCGGCGUCGCUCGCGCGGCACUGCUGGGCUCCCAAAUAUCGGCUGGCCGCAUUCAAUCGUGCCGGAUCCGUCGACGGGCCGUUCUUCGGAGGGGCCUGUUGGCGACCGGCGACGUUACCUUGAACAAAUUAGAGUGCUCAAAGCAGGCUCUGAAUGCCUGUAUACAUAUUCAUGGAAUUGGAGAAUACGUCCCUGGCUCGAUUUGGUUGGUUUUGAGAGUCGAAGGGAAAUGAUUAAUAGGGACUGACGGAGGCAUUCGUAUUGCGACGCGAGGGGUGAAAUCCUGUGACCGUCGCACGACGAACUACUGCGAAAGCAUUUGCCGAGAAUGUUUUCAUUAGUCAAGAACGAAAGUUAGAGGUUCGAAGGCGAUCAGAUACCGCCCUAGUUCUAACCGUAAACGAUGUCGACCAGCAAUCCGCAACGGUCACUACACGGACUGUGCGGGCAGCUUCCCCGGGGAAACCAGAGUUUUUGGACUCCGGGGGAAGUAUGGUUGCAAAGCUGAAACUUAAAGGAAUUGACGGAAGGGCACCACCAGGAGUGGAGCUUGCGGCUUAAUUUGACUCAACACGGGACAACUCACCAGGCCCGGACACCGUAAGGAUUGACAGACUGAUAGCUCUCUCUUGAUUCAGUGGGUGGUGGUGCAUGGCCGUUCUUAGUUGGUGGAGUGAUUUGUCUGGUUUAUUCCGAUAACGAACGAGACUCUGGCCUAUUAAACUUGACACUGUCAGUCUCUUGUGACUGCGGUGCGC